GGGAAUCACUGUUUUCGAAAUAAAACAAGACAAAAAACAACAGGGGAGGAACAGAAAAGUUUGACGGCAGCAAGCAUAAGCAGAGGCGACGACAGAAAGGAAAAAGAAAAAGGCUUCGAUCAAGUCGUCUUUUGUGUACAUGAGUUUGAAUAUGUACCACCCGUACUCAAUCUCCAUUCGGGUGAGUUUGGAGCUACUUUUUGAAUAUCAGGCAUUUACCGAGCUUGUCAGUUAGAGUCAAAGCCGAUCGUGAAGGAAAUGCUAUACGAUCGUGCACGGGUUCGGAUUGAUGACGCGCGCAACUGGCACUGAUUUUUAUCCUCACCAGCUAAGUCCUUUCCAAUUCGUUAUCUUUUUAUUUUGUAUAUUAUUUUAGGUUUUAUUUCUUUUUUAUUUUUAGUUUUCUUUCAUCCUACAUUGGUGACAAUGUAAAUUUUAAGUGUGGGGAUGGGAGACUACGUCUUUUUAGGUAGUUUUGAGUAAAAAAAAUCAAAAUAAAAAAAAACAAAAAAAUAAAAAAAAUAGUUGGUUUUGCGAGUCCCGGUCCUUUAGCGCGUAGAAAACAAAAACCUUUUCAACACGUCGGUAAAAAAAAGUUUAAUUGUCGAAUUUACGAAUCGGAGAACACUUGUUUCUUUAAGUUGCGGGAUAGUAGCUUGAUUGAAUCAGUUUUUGGGAGUAAAAGGGUUCGGGAUGCCUAGGAUAGUGGAUGGAAUCGGAGAAUUGAUUGAUUGUGCAUUGUCAAAUAUCGGUAGCCCUUAUUUGCCACAUGAUAGUGAGAUUUGAGCCUUUACAUGUUCAUAUUUAUAUGUUCACUACUUUCGUUUCAUGUGUGUUUACCGACUUUGUUGCAUUACUUUAGAACUUUUGCGUUUUGAUACAGUUUGAGACCUUCGGUUAGGAUUUGGCAUGGAUAUGAUAGAGGCAUUAGGAUCACCUUUUAUUUAGCCAUUUGUGUUGACUUGUUUCACCGUUACCCUUAGUUACACCACUUUGAGCCUAGCCAUUCGUUUGUUACCCAUUUGUGAUUUGAUAGCCGGAUUGUAUUACGUGAUGUUUAUAUGUGAUUGAGUACCGACAAAAAAAAAAUAAAAAAAAGAAAAAAAAUAUGAAAUAAGAAAAAGAGAAAAAAAAAAGGAAUAAAGUUGUAGGUCAAAAUGACCAAAAUGUUAAUAUGUGUUUAGUGCUUAUCCGGUUUUUCGUGUGAUUAUGUGUUUAUCCCAUUAGUUCCGAAUAAAAAAAUAACCUACCUUUAGCCUUUGCCUACCCAAUAAAGUCCUUUUGAUCCGUGCCGAGUUUUAACAAAUAGGUGGAAAUCUGAUUGACGUACAAGCUUAUGAUAGUCUUGCUUCAUAGUUUGGUUUUGAGAGUUCACUUGAAUUAUCAUAUAUAUAUUGACCGAGUGUCGAGUGAAAUUGUGAGGGGUAUUGACAUUGCAUAAUUGAUUGCUUGAAGGUAAGAAAAACUUGAUUAGGUGGGCCCGGUUUUUUUUUUAAUUAAAUAUUAUGAUUCGUCAACCUUUUGAACGUUGUAAGUCUUGCGAAACUGCUGUGUUUAAUGAUUUCGUAGUACGCGUUAUAAUUUGUUCGAGACUUGUGUUAUUGUUAAGUGUUUAAGUUGGACAUGUUGCUUGGGGUUUUGCUUAAGGACAAGGAUAUUUGAUAUGCUCUAAAAUAUACAUAUUUUUAUAUAAUAUUUCCUAUACUUUUGAGUAGAAUUUAUGUUAAAUUUCACUCAUAGCUGGUUCAUAUCUGGAUUUUAGAGGUUUAAAAAAAACUAGUUAAAAUGAGUGAUAACUAUUUAAUAAGCAUUAAAUUAAUUAAAUGUGGGUUUUUGAAAAGUGUCGUAGACUUUGAAUGAAAAUAAUAUCAUAAUUUUAAUUAAAUGAACUCUAUAAAAGCUAUUAAUUUCUUGAUAAUACCAUCAAUUUACUCACUGAUGAAUUUUAGGAAUUCAAACGAAGAAAACCAAAGUUGGUAAAAGAAAUAAAGGAGCACAGAUUGGACGAAGAUGAUGGACAUGAAGCCAUAGUGGGCCGCUCCUUAAGGAGCAACUUUUAGCCAUAUGAUUUUCGAAAUAAAUAUCAGUGGAAAAGUUGUUGUUCGUAUUUGGGCCGCAAGACAACAGGACAUUAUCUAAGUGGAACCCUAUUGGUGGUGGACGACAUUAGUCUUGAGGAGAAAUAAAAAGGGCAACGAGCACAAGGAUUCGGGAGGGAAUCAUUGUUUUCGAAAUAAAACAAGACAAAAAACAACAGGGGAGGAACCGAAAAGUUUGACGGCAGCAAGCAUAAGCAGAGGCGACGACAGAAAGGAAAAAGAAAAAGGCUUCGAUCAAGGUUCACAUGUGAGAUUAAUAAUCGGGUCGGUUUGCGAACGAGUCAGUUUGAUUUUUAUAUAUUUAUUUUAGUCGAACUCAUGAACAUGAUUUGUUAUUUAUUUCAGACUUGUUUCUUUUUCGUGAAUAUGAUUCUUGGCUAAUUUUCUUAAACUACCUGGGUUAAGAUGA
rnacentral:lncRNA from 1 species